AGAGAGAGACAUGCGCGCAUAUCAAUAAGGGAGGAAAAGAAACUAACAAGGAUUCCCCUAGUAACGGCGAGUGAAGCGGGAAGAGCUCAAAUUUGAAAUCUUAAAGGGUUUCCCUUUACGAAUUGUAGUUUAAAGAAGUGUUUUCUGUUGAGGUUUUGGUAAAAGUUCUUUGGAAUAGGACAUCAUAGAGGGUGAGAAUCCCGUAUUUGACCUUUACUUUCAACUUUGUGAUACACUUUCAAAGAGUCGGAUUGUUUGGGAAUGCAGUCCAAAGUGGGUGGUAAAUUUCAUCUAAAGCUAAAUAUUGGCGAGAGACCGAUAGCGAACAAGUACCGUGAGGGAAAGAUGAAAAGAACUUUGAAAAGAGAGUUAAACAGUACGUGAAAUUGUCAAAAGGGAAGCGUUUGACACCAGUGUUGUUUUUCUGAAAAUCAAUUAAAGAACUGUUUAUGCUAAGUCGUUUAGACUUUAUCAGCUAACUGUUUAGUUUUGAGCUUUUCUUUAAUGCACUUUUCAGUUAACAAGUCAACAUCAAUUUCUUUUGCUGUAAAAAAGCUUGAGGAAGGUGGCUUGAGAUUCGUCUUAAGUGUUUAUAGCCUCUUGCCUAUGCAGUCGGAGAGAUUGAGGUCUGCAGCGUAGAUCCUUCGGGGCUAAAUGCAUUUGUGCUAAGUUAUAGCAUUUUAUAGACAACUUGUUGACUAUGAUUUGUCUUGUAGCUUACUCGCUUAUGUUAUUUUACCUACGCUUAGGAUGUUGACGCAUGAGAUAUACGC
rnacentral:rRNA from 1 species